rnacentral:snRNA from 1 species
UCACUCUGGUUUCCCUUCAAAACGAAUAAAUAUUUCGCCUUUUACUAAAGAUUUCCGUGGAGAGGAACACUCAAAUGAGUCUAACUCUAUUUUUUUAGCCUCACGCUUGUGUGGC